UCAAUGUAUGUAAGAAGAGGAUGAGCAUUAUAAAUGAUAAAGUGAUAAGAACAUAUUCUAUUUCAUACGUCCCAAGAGAAAAAUAUGGUUGAAAAUGUGAAGUAUGAUUGUGUUAUAAUUAUCUUUAUUUUUCUAUUUCUUGUUGUAAUGAACGUUGAAGGUCGUGUUAAAUGUAAAGAAGGCUAUGGUUGCCAAAACAAGUUGUGUGAGUUUCCUUUGAAACCAUACAUUACAAUAGAUCGUGUUAACUGUAAAAAUGCCAAUGGUUGCCCAAAUGAGUUGUGUGAGUAUCCUUUCGAACCAAAGUGUUUAAAACCAAAAUUUUUAUUCUUUUCCAAAAAAGAGGGCUUUUGUGCAUGUAUAUGAGCAAUGUUCCCAUAAAAUUCUGCUACAAAAUUCCAUGAUUGAUAAUUUAGUUAUUGCCUUGGCACCCGAUAAUUUGAAUUUUUUUUCUUUUAAUAUUUCCACAUACCUUGUAAUUAUAGAUGUGUACACUAAGAUGAUCAUAAUCAAAUGAAAUAAGGCAAAAAAUAAAAUUAUUUAAA